rnacentral:tRNA from 1 species
GCCUUGAUGGUGAAAUUGGUAGACACGCAGGCUUGAGGGGCUUGUGCUUAACGGCGUGCUGGUUCGAGUCCAGUUCAGGGCA